ACCUCCCACCCGUGUUUACUGUACCUUAGUUGCUUCGGCGGGCCCGCCAUUCAUGGCCGCCGGGGGCUCUCAGCCCCGGGCCCGCGCCCGCCGGAGACACCACGAACUCUGUCUGAUCUAGUGAAGUCUGAGUUGAUUGUAUCGCAAUCAGUUAAAACUUUCAACAAUGGAUCUCUUGGUUCCGGCAUCGAUGAAGAACGCAGCGAAAUGCGAUAACUAGUGUGAAUUGCAGAAUUCCGUGAAUCAUCGAGUCUUUGAACGCACAUUGCGCCCCCUGGUAUUCCGGGGGGCAUGCCUGUCCGAGCGUCAUUGCUGCCCAUCAAGCACGGCUUGUGUGUUGGGUCGUCGUCCCCUCUCCGGGGGGGACGGGCCCCAAAGGCAGCGGCGGCACCGCGUCCGAUCCUCGAGCGUAUGGGGCUUUGUCACCCGCUCUGUAGGCCCGGCCGGCGCUUGCCGAACGCAAAUCAAUCUUUUCCAGGUUGACCUCGGAUCAGGUAGGGAUACCCGCUGAACUUAAGCAUAUCAAUAAGCGGAGGAAAAGAAACCAACCGGGAUUGCCUCAGUAACGGCGAGUGAAGCGGCAAGAGCUCAAAUUUGAAAGCUGGCUCCUUCGGGGUCCGCAUUGUAAUUUGCAGAGGAUGCUUCGGGUGCGGCCCCUGUCUAAGUGCCCUGGAACGGGCCGUCAGAGAGGGUGAGAAUCCCGUCUGGGAUGGGGUGUCCGCGCCCGUGUGAAGCUCCUUCGACGAGUCGAGUUUGUUUGGGAAUGCAGCUCUAAAUGGGUGGUAAAUUUCAUCUAAAGCUAAAUACUGGCCGGAGACCGAUUAGCGCACAAGUAGAGUGAUCGAAAGAUGAAAAGCACUUUGAAAUGAGAGUUAAAAGCA
rnacentral:rRNA from 1 species